rnacentral:rRNA from 1 species
CCUACGGGAGGCUGCAGUGGGGAAUAUUGGACAAUGGGCGAAAGCCUGAUCCAGCCAUGCCGCGUGUGUGAAGAAGGCCUUCGGGUUGUAAAGCACUUUCAGUGGGGAAGAAAGCCUUGGGGCUAAUACCCUCGAGGAAGGACAUCACCCACAGAAGAAGCACCGGCUAACUCCGUGCCAGCAGCCGCGGUAAUACGGAGGGUGCGAGCGUUAAUCGGAAUUACUGGGCGUAAAGCGCGCGUAGGCGGUCUGAUAAGCCGGUUGUGAAAGCCCCGGGCUCAACCUGGGAACGGCAUCCGGAACUGUCAGGCUAGAGUGCAGGAGAGGAAGGUAGAAUUCCCGGUGUAGCGGUGAAAUGCGUAGAGAUCGGGAGGAAUACCAGUGGCGAAGGCGACCUUCUGGACUGACACUGACGCUGAGGUGCGAAAGCGUGGGUAGCAAACAGGAUUAGAUACCCCGGUAGUC